CACAGCCCCCCUCAAUCUGAUUCCCUGCUAUGCCUGCCAUCACCACUGGCCAGUUUUACCACAUGCUUCUCAAGACCCAAGGCACAAUAGGCAUAAAGUUGUCCUGAAAAGGACAAGAGGAGUGUCAGAAGUAGGAAUGGCAGUUGAAGGAGCUUCGUCUGCCAGCAGAAAGCUGAAAUGACAGGAAGACAGAAUGUCUUGUCAAGGGUCACCCCAGGAGGAGGAGUAAAUUCCCCAAAAAGCGGAACAUAUUUUUAUGAUUUAAUUAAUACAAUUUCUCUCAAUGUGUCUGUUUAUCAUUUGAGCAUCCACAUGAUCAGACCUGACAUCUGCCUACAUUUUCUUGGUCGUCUUUGACUUCAGUUAAGAACCUUUUGCUCUUUGUUUUCCCCCAGCAGCACAGUAUAUUAAGUUUGGAACAAGACACACCUGAAAUCAAAUCCCUGCUCUGUGCUGGGUGAUCUUAGAGGCAGUCUUUUACCUCUUUCUACUUUAUUGUUCUCAUAGGAAAAGUGGAAAUGAGGCCUUUUACCCCAGGGUUGUUGAGAAGACAGAGGAGAAAAAGCACAUAAAAAUGCACCUUGUCGGGCGUGGGGCUCACACCUGUAAUCCCAGCACUUUGGGAGGCUGAGGCAGGUGUAUCGCUUGAGGCCAGGAGUUCAAGACCAGCCUGGCCAACAGGAAAAAUACAUUAAAAAUAAUGUCUCUAUUAAAAAUACAAAAAUUAGCCAGGUAUGGUGGUGCACGCCUGUAAUCCCAGCUACUCAGGAGGCUGAGGCAGAAGAAUCGCUUGAACCCAGGAAGCGAAAGCUGCAGUGAGUCGAGAUCGCAGCACUGGGCAGGCACAGUGGCUCACACCUGUAAUCCCAGUACUUUGGGAGGCUGAGGUGGGUGGAUCACAAGGUCAGGAGAUGGAGACCAUCCUGGCUAACACGAUGAAACUGUAUCUCUACUAAAAAUACAAAAACAAAAUAAGCUGGGCGUGGUGGCGGGCGCCUGUAGUCCCAGCUACCUGGGAGGCUGAGGCAGGAGAAUGGCAGGAACCCGGGAGGCAGAGCUUGCCGUCAGCCAAGAUUGCACUGCUGCACUCCAGCCUGGGCAAGAGAGCAAGACCCUGUCUCAAAAAAAAAAAAAAAAAAAAAAAAAGCAUUUUGCCUGGCACCCAGUAGAUCCUCAAUAAAGGUCAUGGCACUUCCUCUAUUUAUUUUGCUUCAUUUUACCCUGGCAUGCUAGAGAAGAUACUGAAACUAGUUGUUCACAGUCAUUACACUUGAAGCAGGAAGACCCCUUACCAAAAAUAACAUCUCCCUAGGGCAUUUCUAGGAACCAAAAUGGCAAAAACAUUUGCAUCUAUAAACAUGAGCAAUUACUCUUUUGGCAGAAAGACCAAGGAGUCCAAAAUUUGGUCCUCUAACUGAGGCCCCUACACCAUUUGAGUCAGCUGACUCAAUUACCCAGGGGUAUUUUUUUCUGGUGUUCAUAGUGUAUGAAUUUCUGUUCCCUGGCUGUCUCUUUGGUUGUCUCACUUUCUCCACCCCCUCUUCUUUCCCUUUUUCUUGACUCUCUUGAUACUGAACAGCUUUUUGUGUUCACUGCAAACAAAAGGGGUUAAUGACAGUGAUGAUGAAGUUGUC
rnacentral:lncRNA from 1 species